rnacentral:rRNA from 1 species
GACGAACGCUGGCGGCGUGCUUAACACAUGCAAGUCGAACGGAAAGGCGCCUCUCUUGUUGGUUGCUCGAGUGGCGAACGGGUGAGUAACACGUGAGUAACCUGCCCUUCACUUUGGGAUAACUUCAGGAAACUGGGGCGAAUAUCCUAUAGGAUCUCCUGCUUCAUUGGGUGGGUUGGAAAGGUACGGCGGUUGGGUAUGUACUCGCGGCUGAUCAGCUUGUUGGUGGGGUAGUGGCUUACCACGGCUUGGACGGGUAGCCGGCCUGAGAGGGUGAGCGGCCACGUUGGGACUGAGAUACGACGCAGCCUCGUACAGGAGGCAGCAGUGGGGAAGAUUGCACAAUGGCCGGGCGCCUGAUGGAGCGGCGCCCGGUGCGGGAUGACGGCCUUCGGGUUGUGAACCGCUUUCGCCUGUGACGAGGCGUGAGUGACGGUAGUGGGUUAAGAAGCACCGGCUAACUACGUG